UACGUAGGGGGCUAGCGUUGUCCGGAAUCAUUGGGCGUAAAGAGCUCGUAGGCGGCUCGGUAAGUCGGGUGUGAAAUUUCGAGGCUCAACCUCGAAACGCCACCCGAUACUGCUGUGGCUAGAGUCCGGUAGGGGAGCGUGGAAUUCCUGGUGUAGCGGUGAAAUGCGCAGAUAUCAGGAGGAACACCAGCGGCGAAGGCGGCGCUCUGGGCCGGUACUGACGCUGAGGAGCGAAAGCGUGGGGAUCAAACAGG
rnacentral:rRNA from 1 species